AGUGAACGCUGGCGGUAGACCUAACACAUGCAAGUCGAACGGCAGCACAGUAAGAGCUUGCUCUUGCGGGUGGCGAGUGGCGGACGGGUGAGGAAUACAUCGGAAUCUACUUUUUCGUGGGGGAUAACGUAGGGAAACUUACGCUAAUACCGCAUACGACCUACGGGUGAAAGCAGGGGAUCUUCGGACCUUGCGCGAUUGAAUGAGCCGAUGUCGGAUUAGCUAGUUGGCGGGGUAAAGGCCCACCAAGGCGACGAUCCGUAGCUGGUCUGAGAGGAUGAUCAGCCACACUGGAACUGAGACACGGUCCAGACUCCUACGGGAGGCAGCAGUGGGGAAUAUUGGACAAUGGGCGCAAGCCUGAUCCAGCCAUACCGCGUGGGUGAAGAAGGCCUUCGGGUUGUAAAGCCCUUUUGUUGGGAAAGAAAAGCAGCAGGUUAAUACCCCGCUGUUCUGACGGUACCCAAAGAAUAAGCGCCGGCUAACUUCGUG
rnacentral:rRNA from 1 species